rnacentral:rRNA from 1 species
AGGGUUCGAUCUGGCGUCAGGAUGAACGCUAGCUACAGGCUUAACACAUGCAAGUCGAGGGGCAGCAUGGUCUUAGCUUGCUAAGAUUGAUGGCGACCGGCGCACGGGUGAGUAACGCGUAGUCCAACCUUCCCUAUAGUAGGGGAUAGCCCGUAGAAAUGCGGAUUAAUACCCUAUGUUGUAUUUAGAUGACAUCUGACGAAUACCAAAGGUUCACCGCUAUAGGAUGGGGAUGCGUCUGAUUAGGUAGUCGGCGGGGUAACGGCCCACCGAGCCAACGAUCAGUAGGGGUUCUGAGAGGAAGGUCCCCCACAUUGGAACUGAGACACGGUCCAAACUCCUACGGGAGGCAGCAGUGAGGAAUUAUUGGUCAAUGGGCGAGAGCCUGAACCAGCCAAGUAGCGUGCAGGAUGACGGCCCUAGUGGGGUUGUAAACUGUCUUUUAUGUGGGGAUAAAGUGGGGGACGUGUCCCUUAUUGUAGGUACCGCAUGAAUAAGGACCGGCUAAUUCCGUGCCAGCAGCUGC